rnacentral:rRNA from 1 species
AGUGGCGGACGGGUGAGUAACGCGUGAGAAUCUGCCCUUAGGACGGGGACAACAGCUGGAAACGGCUGCUAAUACCCGAUGUGCCGAGAGGUGAAACAUUUAUGGCCUGAGGAUGAGCUCGCGUCUGAUUAGCUAGUUGGUGGGGUAAGAGCCUACCAAGGCAACGAUCAGUAGCUGGUCUGAGAGGAUGAUCAGCCACACUGGGACUGAGACACGGCCCAGACUCCUACGGGAGGCAGCAGUGGGGAAUUUUCCGCAAUGGGCGCAAGCCUGACGGAGCAAGACCGCGUGCGGGAGGACGGCCUAUUGGUUGUAAACCGCUUUUGAUAGGGAAGAAGUUCUGACGGUACCUAUCGAAUCAGCAUCGGCUAACUCCGUGCCAGCAGCCGCGGUAAUACGGAGGAUGCAAGCGUUAUCCGGAAUUAUUGGGCGUAAAGCGUCCGUAGGUGGUUGUUCAAGUCUGCUGUUAAAGCGUGCGGCUUAACCGCAUAUCAGCAGUGGAAACUGDACAACUAGAGUGCGGUAGGGGUCAGGGGAAUUCCCAGUGUAGCGGUGAAAUGCGUAGAUAUUGGGAAGAACACCGGUGGCGAAGGCGCCUGACUGGACCUGCACUGACACUGAGGGACGAAAGCUAGGGGAGCGAAAGGGAUUAGAUACCCCUGUAGUCCUAGCCGUAAACGAUGGACACUAGGUGUUG